rnacentral:rRNA from 1 species
UAAGGAAUAUUGGUCAAUGGACGCAAGUCUGAACCAGCCAUGCCGCGUGAAGGAUGAAGGUCCUCUGGAUUGUAAACUUCUUUUAUCUGGGACGAAAACGGGACUUUUAUCUCAAUUGACGGUACCAGAGGAAUAAGCACCGGCUAACUCCGUGCCAGCAGCCGCGGUAAUACGGAGGGUGCGAGCGUUAUCCGGAUUUACUGGGUUUAAAGGGUGCGUAGGUGGGCUUAUAAGUCAGUGGUGAAAUCUCCGAGCUUAACUUGGAAACUGCCGUUGAUACUAUAGGUCUUGAAUUAUCUGGAGGUCAGCGGAAUAUGUCAUGUAGCGGUGAAAUGCUUAGAUAUGACAUAGAACACCAAUUGCGAAGGCAGCUUACUACAUAUAAAUUGACGCUGAGGCACGAAAGCGUGGGGAUCAAACA